UUAGGUCACGAGGGCUCUGGUGUUUUUAUUGAAAGAUAUCAGUGGGAUGCUGCGUUAAGGGCAAAUUCUUUUAUGUCUAUGGCAAUAUCGUUGCUCUGUUCGGCUUUUUCUGAAGAGGGUUUACUAGUAAGUAAUUACAAAGGUGGAAAAUCCAAAAAUACAGACGAUAAAGCACAAAUGUACGCUUAACUUGAUUCUAAAAUAAUAGAUGCAAUUAAAGAAAGUGUCAAAGCUCAUCACGAUGAUUUUAAAGAGGGUCCUUUUGGAACUGCCAUCAACAAUAAAUGCGGCAAAUUAAGAACACUUGCAAGGAAAGCGGAAAAAG